UACAGAGGUCCCAAGCGUUGUUCGGAUUCACUGGGCGUAAAGGGUGCGUAGGUGGUGAGGUAAGUCGGAUGUGAAAGCUCGGAGCUCAACUCCGAAAUGGCAUUGGAAACUACCUUGCUCGAGGGUUGGAGGGGGGACUGGAAUGCUUGGUGUAGCAGUGAAAUGCGUAGAUAUCAAGCGGAACACCAGUGGCGAAGGCGAGUCCCUGGACAACUCCUGACACUGAGGCCCGAAAGCUAGGGGAGCAAACAGG
rnacentral:rRNA from 1 species